AUAAUGGAGAGUUUGAUCCUGGCUCAGAACGAACGCUGGCGGCGCGUCUUAAACAUGCAAGUCGAACGAUGAUUUUUUCUAGCUUGCUAGAGAGAAUUAUAGUGGCGCACGGGUGAGUAACACGUAGGAACCUGCCCUUUUGCGGGGGACAACUUCGGGAAACUGGAGCUAAUACCGCGUACGACCGAGAGGUGAAAGAAUAGCAAUAUUCGCAGAAGGAUGGUCCUGCGGCCUAUCAGCUUGUUGGUGGGGUAAUGGCC
rnacentral:rRNA from 1 species